rnacentral:lncRNA from 1 species
AAAAAUACUUUAUCAAUUAACACAAUACCACAAACAUGCAAAAACCAAAAUCAAAAUAAAAGGGGGACUCGGCAUUUUAGUAUUGAGAGCUCUUUGGUGGUUUUUAAAGGUUUGGUUAGUAGGAAAAGGUUGUGAGGAAAGAUAAAAAGGAAAAAGAAGAGAAAGGAAAUGGAAAGCCACUGUUAAUGACAGUAGAUGUCGCAUUCAACGGCGACAAGUUGGCUUCUAGAAAAGUGAAAUGGUGGAAAGGAAUAGGACGAAGAUAAGAGCGACACACUUAAGUUUCAGGCGAUUUGGAUGGCAGAAAAGGGCCCAAACAAUGGCCGGAAGUUUCAGGUUUAUUUUUUAGAUCUAGGAAUUCUUGUAGACUUUUAGGAAAGUCUAGCUUGGGAAAAGAAAAGAGGGAAUCGAAAGGAGUUUCUAGGUAAGUUUCAAAUGAUUUUGACGCCAACAACAAGUGGUUGGCAACAGUAUCGU